rnacentral:rRNA from 1 species
UACGUAGGUGGCGAGCGUUUGUCCGGAUUUACUGGGCGUAAAGAGCGCGCAGGCGGUCGUUCAAGUCGCGUGUGAAAGCCCCCGGCUCAACUGGGGAGGGUCACGCGAUACUGAUCGACUCGAAGGCAGGAGAGGGUAGUGGAAUUCCCGGUGUAGUGGUGAAAUGCGUAGAGAUCGGGAGGAACACCUGUGGCGAAGGCGGCCCCCUGGGCCCGGGCCUGACGCUGAGACGCGAAGGCGCGGGGAGCGAACGGG